AAUAACAAAAGUAGGAGUUUUGUUAUUUCCUUAAACGUUGGUAGAACUAUCUCAAGUCUAACGAAAUUACCCAGCGAGAUCAAAUGAGACUUGGGACGAGACUUUUCUUCCUUGAAGUGUUUAUACUCUACGCAGCGCUGCUCAACUACAUUGCUGCUGUCACUGAUAGUCUCAUAGCUGUGGUGUGUCUGCUGGUCACACCAACUUUAAUACGAACGUUGGGUUUUACUGCAGUUGGAAUCCCCAGUGGGACAGUGGCGUCCUACCUGUGCUCAAAAGCUAACAAGUACAAGUUUGGCAUACAGUUCGUGGGAGUACUGCAGUCUGUUGGUGCCAAGGGCGUCAGCCUUCCAACCCUGUUGGUCCUUGCGAUUGUCGGCGUUUUAUUGUUCAACAUAACAAACAAUGUGUUGCAUCGUCAUCGAGCUUAUUGGUAGUUGAUCCUGCUCAUUGGUGUGCUGUUAGAGACUGCUGGUAGAAAACACGCAUUUGGCACCACAAUGAUUUAUCUUCACAAAACAUCGUAUACCACCGUGACAUAACAUCAUAUAACACCACCGCUAUACACCACAUUUACAAGCAAAUGUUGCUUAUCACCAUCACAAACAUCGACAACAUCCAACACCAUCAAACGCCAUGAUCAGAUACCACUAUUUAGAAACACCAUUCGACACCAUCUCUCCUACAUCAUUCACUCAUACUGCCAUCACACACACACACCACACUACACAUCACAAUCAUAAGCUAUCAUUACACACACCCAUCAGAAAACAUACCAUCCAACACCAUAAUCACAACACAUCAUCAUGUACCAUCACACAUCAUAAAACACCCCCAUCACAAACCACCAUUAAAUAGCCACUAUAUUAUGGUUACACCAUUAAAUCCCACUUUUGAACUACCACUGAAUAUACCACCAACAACUUUGUUUAGUUUUGUCCAAGAUUUUCCCCUAAUAAAGCUUUUUAUUCUCUCUACUGCCCUUUAAUAUUGUUUUUUAUUUAAAAAAAAAUAACUUGGCCAAUGUAGACGCUAUUCACAUAUCUACAAACGAUAAGACAAAGUAGACUUUUUAAAAAUAAAUUAAAAUGAUUGAAAAGAGGAAUAUACAGUUAAUACCAUCAGUUAAUAAUUUACAUUACUAACUGCUUCGUCAAAUAAAUGUUUUUAGUCUUUUAAAAGUUCCAAGCACACGAUUCCUUAUUUUUCUAUCAUCAGUAAUAAUUCUAUCUUUUCACCUAUACUAUCGUCUACGGAUGCAAUUAUAAUUCAUCUUUGCACCUAUACUAUCUUCUAUGGAGGGAAUUAUAAUUCUAUCUUUUAAUCUAUACUAUCAUCAAUGGAUGCAAUUAUAAUUCAUCUUUUUCAAUUUUUAACCUAUACUAUUAUCAAUGGAUGCAAUUAUAAUUAUAUCUUUUAGCCUUUACUAUUAUCAAUGGAUGCAAUUAUAGUUAUGUCUUUUAGACUAUAAUAUUAUCUACGGAUGCAAUUAUAAUUCAUCUUUUAACCUAUAUUAUUAUUUAUGAAUGCAGUGAAAAUACUGAGAGGAACUUUUGAGCUAUUUUUA